UACGUAGGGUGCAAGCGUUAAUCGGAAUUACUGGGCGUAAAGCGUGCGCAGGCGGUUUUGUAAGUCUGACGUGAAAUCCCCGGGCUCAACCUGGGAAUUGCGUUGGAGACUGCAAGGCUAGAAUCUGGCAGAGGGGGGGUAGAAUUCCACGUGUAGCAGUGAAAUGCGUAGAGAUGUGGAGGAACACCGAUGGCGAAGGCAGCCCCCUGGGUCAAGAUUGACGCUCAUGCACGAAAGCGUGGGGAGCAAACGAGG
rnacentral:rRNA from 1 species